rnacentral:lncRNA from 1 species
GCCCUUGUCUUAUUGGAUGCAGAUCCAAUACCCACUAGGGAAGGACCCAUUAGGGUUUGACACGGGAUCUCUAUAAAUAGGAGGGAUUCACAGCCUCAUAGGCUAGAGUCUUUGCUUGCCUUUCCUAUUCUCCUCUCCCUCUCCACCUCAGAGUAGGCCUGGAGUUUUGAGGAGCGUCGUCGCAACCCUGCUGUGUGGAUCACCGCUAGAGAGGAGGACGCUUGACCUCCUUCACCCUCUCCUAAGGAUCUGCAAGGAAACAGGGAUAUACGAUCUUCCUAGGUAACACAAUCUCUAUACGCAGUUUUGUGUUUUGCGGAUUUUUGCGCACCAAUCUUCGCACGACGACGAACAUCCUUUUGGGAAUUGGGGAUUUUUGUU